AAAAGUUUAUUUAUAAAAUACUGACAAGUUUGACGGGACAUGGGACCUCUUGUGGUAUAUAUUUCAAAUCAAUUUCUUUGUUACCUUUCAUUCAAAAAAUAAACCUGCUAACAAGCUAUAUGACAUAUAUAUAUAUAUUUUCUUACAGAUAGACACCUGCCAUAAUGAAUACUCUCCCUAUAAUUUUUCUUAUAUCUUUUAAAUCAAAAAAAUAAAGAUUUGUGUUGGUUUUUGUUUUUGGAGUCUACAUGUGUAAAAGAAGGUAACACAUUUAAAUGCUUUUGGUUAUUUUUACAGAAACAAAGAGAAGGGGGGCGUGUCCCAAGAGGGCACCUGUGUUGGGGGGUGGUCCGGUGGCCGCUGGGGGGUCCCCACAGAGGCACUGGGGAGCCGGAGGCGGGUGUUCAGGUGGCCCCCUCCCCGCUGGUGCCCUCCAGCCCCUCACCAGUGUGGGCACCUUCUGCUGGGCACCAGGUGAGGGGAGCCCCCGCCCAGAGUGGCACAUGGGAGGGCGGAGGGCUCUGGCACCUUUGAAAGCUCUGCCCAGGGAAGUGCGGGCAGAGACAGAAGGCCUCGGGCCAGCGAGCCGCUGGGCGGGGCGGCCGGAGGCCUCCUCUUCCUUGUGAGUCUGGGCAGUGUCAGUCCGGAGAUGAGGGGAGGCGGCCGGCGCCAAGGACUCCCCGGAGCCCCGGGAGGAGGGCGCUUCUGGAGCCCCGGGCAGCGUUUUGGUUGGUCGUCUUGGCAGUCUGGGUGCUGAAGGGACGUGAACACAGGAGGCGCGGCCAGAAGGGCAAAGGCUGUGCUAGUGUGCCAGGUGUGAGCUGCCCGGGGCAACACCAGGUUUCUGGAGGGCACGGCGGGGCAGGGCCAGGUGAGGAGCCAGGCGCUGUCCCCAGGUGAGCCCGUUCCAGGGGGAGUCAGGCCAACACGGGGUCUGAUGUCACGGGCCCAAGAAGCCAAAGGGCAGGGAGGCUCCCCGUGACCCAUGGGCAGUGCCCACACACACCUUUCCAGCGCGGCCAGGUGUCCGGACAGGAGCCGCCACUGCCCCAGCAGAUAUGUAAACACGGACAGGAUCAGUCCUCCGGGAAAUCUAGAGGCCCACGGCCGGGAGCCGGGCUUCCAGGUGUGGCUGGGGCGGUGGAGGCACCGUUCCAGGUGGGUGGGGAUGGACGGAGGGCGGGACUCUCACCGGGGGCCGCCCGCCUCCCGGCUCCUCGAAGGGCCCUGGUUGGCAGUGUCCUCGCUUUGCCCUUUCAGACAGCAGAGCCCAGCCUCUCUGCCUGUGUCUCACUGGAGGCAGGCGGCCCCUCCGAGGGGGUUGCUGACGCAGGUACACCAUGCAGUGUGUGUACCCGCGUGCGCAUGCGUGAGCCCAGGUGAGCGAGAGCCCAGAAGGUGUGUGUGGGGGCAGAUGGUACCUGAAUUAGAAGAAAGAAGAAAGUCCAAGCGUCCUUUUUCCAGUCCCGACGGCCUGCCCCACGCUCCGUCAUUCCAGGGAUGCUGGGCCGGCGCCCCCCCCCCCCCCCCGCCCCGUUCCCGAGUCCAUCUCUCUGAGUCUGUGCUCGGGGAUGGGGGUGGGUAAGUGAAUUCAAGUAAAGGAGUGACUGGGUUCAGUGGGUAGGAGUUGGGAGCAUCCCCCCAGCCCCAGGGACCUCCUCUUCCUUGUGUUCACAACAGAAAGGUCAGUUAGGAGCAAGGAGCUGGGUAGGCAGUCUCACCCUUGAGCUGGUUUCGUUUUCCUAAAUAAACCAGAUGCUUGGUGGGGACACUGGGCGGGGGAGGAGCCAGGCUGCAGGGGGCGGGGGGAGGGGCGCCUGCCCCCCGGGAUGCCCGUCCUGGCACCAGCCAGCACUGGGUCCAGAGCUGCAGCACAUGCGGAAAGGAGCAGCCGGCUGGACUUCCAGAAGCUUCCUGGUCCCGGUCACGCCCACCUGACGGCCCUCCAGUCCUUGCCUUCCCUCCCUCCUUCCCUCCAUCGGCCUAAACUCACCGGUGUCCACCGUAGCUGCCCCCACCCCGCCCCCCGCUCAGCCUCUUGAAGCCACAACGAACCCCACAAUCUCGAAGCCACACACGUCCCCUCGCGGUUUUUCUCCAUGGUUCUCCACACUGGCUUUGCUGGCCCUGGAAUCUCUGGAAAAAUAAACUCAGGAGGUGAAAAGUUGA